GAUAAACGCUGGCGGCGUGCUUAACACAUGCAAGUCGAGCGAAGUUUUUCCUUCGGGAGAAACUUAGUGGCGGACGGGUGAGUAACGCGUGGGUAACCUGCCCUGUACAGGGGGACAACAGCUGGAAACGGCUGCUAAUACCGCAUAAGCCCUUAGCACUGCAUGGUGCAUAGGGAAAAGGAGCAAUCCGGUACAGGAUGGACCCGCGUCUGAUUAGCCAGUUGGCAGGGUAACGGCCUACCAAAGCGACGAUCAGUAGCCGAUCUGAGAGGAUGUACGGCCACAUUGGGACUGAGACACGGCCCAGACUCCUACGGGAGGCAGCAGUGGGGAAUAUUGCACAAUGGAGGAAACUCUGAUGCAGCGACGCCGCGUGAGUGAAGAAGUAUUUCGGUAUGUAAAGCUCUAUCAGCAGGGAAGAAAAUGACGGUACCUGACUAAGAAGCACCGGCUAAAUACGUG
rnacentral:rRNA from 1 species